rnacentral:rRNA from 1 species
UACGAAGGGGGCUAGCGUUGCUCGGAAUCACUGGGCGUAAAGGGUGCGUAGGCGGGUCUUUAAGUCAGGGUGAAAUCCUGGAGCUCAACUCCAGAACUGCCUUUGAUACUGAGGAUCUUGAGUCCGGGAGAGGUGAGUGGAACUGCGAGUGUAGAGGUGAAAUUCGUAGAUAUUCGCAAGAACACCAGUGGCGAAGGCGGCUCACUGGCCCGGUACUGACGCUGAGGCACGAAAGCGUGGGGAGCAAACA